rnacentral:rRNA from 1 species
UACGAAGGGGGCUAGCGUUGUUCGGAAUUACUGGGCGUAAAGAGCUCGUAGGCGGUUUGCCGCGUCUGCUGUGAAAUCCCGAGGCUCAACCUCGGGCCUGCAGUGGGUACGGGCAGACUAGAGUGCGGUAGGGGAGAUUGGAAUUCCUGGUGUAGCGGUGGAAUGCGCAGAUAUCAGGAGGAACACCGAUGGCGAAGGCAGAUCUCUGGGCCGUAACUGACGCUGAGGAGCGAAAGCGUGGGGAGCGAACAGG